UACAGAGGUCUCGAGCGUUAAUCGGAGUCACUGGGCUUAAAGGGUGCGUAGGCGGCGCUGCAAGUGCCUUGUGAAAUCCCACCGCUCAACGGUGGAAUUGCUCGGUAGACUGCAGUGCUUGAGGUUGGUAGGGGCUGUCGGAACUCUAGGUGGAGCGGUGAAAUGCGUAGAUAUCUAGAGGAACGCCAAAGGUGAAGACAGACAGCUGGGCCAAUACUGACGCUGAGGCACGAAAGCGUGGGGAGCAAACGGG
rnacentral:rRNA from 1 species